GCCGGGUGCAGUAACACGUACCUAUAGUUCCAGCUACUCAGGAAGCUGAGAUGGGAGGUUGAGUCCAGGAGUUCUGGACUGUAGUGUGCUAUGCCGAUUGGGUAUCCUCACUAAGUUCAGCAUCAAUAUGGUGACCUCUUGGGAGCCAGGGACCACCAGGUUGCCUAAGGAGGGGUGAACCACCCCAGGUCGGAAACGGAGCAGGUCAAAACUCCCGUGCUGAUCUGUAGUGGGAUCAUGCCUGUGAAAAGCCACUGCACUCCAGCCUGGGCAACAUAGCGAGACCCUGUCUCU
rnacentral:SRP_RNA from 1 species